rnacentral:rRNA from 1 species
UGGAGGCAGCAGUGAGGAAUCUUCCGCAAUGGACGAAAGUCUGACGGAGCAACGCCGCGUGAGGGAUGAAGGCCUUCGGGUUGUAAACCUCUGUCUUCAGGGAAGAAAAAAAUGACGGUACCUGAGGAGGAAGCCCCGGCUAACUACGUGCCAGCAGCCGCGGUAAUACGUAGGGGGCGAGCGUUAUCCGGAAUUAUUGGGCGUAAAGGGCGCGUAGGCGGAUAUUUAAGUCAGGUGUGAAAACCCGGGGCUCAACCCCGUGAUUGCAUCUGAUACUGGGUAUCUUGAGGACAGGAGAGGAAAGUGGAAUUCCUAGUGUAGCGGUGAAAUGCGUAGAUAUUAGGAGGAACACCAGUGGCGAAGGCGACUUUCUGGACUGUAACUGACGCUGAGGCGCGAAAGCGUGGGGAGCAAACAGGAUUAGAUACCCCGGUAGC